GUGCUAACUUUGGCAGCACAUGUACUAAAAUUGGAACAAUACAGAGAAUAUUAGCAUAGCUACUGUACAAAGAUGACACAAAAAUCUGUGUCAUUUCAUAAUUUAGA
ensembl:snRNA U6 U6 spliceosomal RNA